AUCAUCAUCCACUUCUUGAGUCCUGGACCGUGACAACGCUGUCCAAUCUCCAAAUUAGGCGCGUAGGAUUAGUAUCCCUUCGGUCUUCCCUUCUAUCUUUCUCCCUUCUAAUUUUACACGACCAGUCGAAUCAACACCACAAUGACCACCAUAACUCUCUUGACACAAUCAACUCAGAUUUUUGCAAUUUUUAAUCUUCAAUCCUAAUCAAAUCAAAAUCUUGUAUUUUUUUUGUUUUGUUCGGUUAAAGUUCUGAACGAUUUGUUGAGUUUUUUUUAAAAAAAAAAAAAAAUCUGUUUUCAUGGCCGAGUUGACUCAGGCCGAGGCGGUCUACUCACCCCGCUGGUCUAUUCAAAUAUGGAGAACGUUGUUGAACUGGCUGGCUUUCUUUUUCCAGAUCUUCUCUAAGAUUAUAAGAGCUCUUGAUCACCAUCCGCUGCUCUCUUCUUCGGCUUCAACUCACGCUUUCAAACCGUUGCCCGUUGUGGAGCUACCAGAGUCUGAUUUUCCAGCCUCCCUGGAGAUCUCUGGGGUCGGAGACUCCGCUGAUGAGGUGGCUACUGAUGAGCGUAUCGAAAAGCUGACGGUAGUUCUUGAUUUGGACGAAACUUUAGUAUGUGCAUAUGAGACAUCUAGUCUGCCUGUUUCUCUAUGCGCUCACGCAACAGAAGCUGGUGUGAAGUGGUUUGAGCUGGAAUGCUAUUCUUUGGAUAAGGAAAAUGAAGGAAAGCCUAAGGUCAAUUAUGUUACGGUGUUUGAGCGUCCAGGAUUGCAUGAGUUUUUAAAAGAAGUUAGUGAAUUUGCAGAUCUUAUUCUUUUUACUGCUGGUCUUGAAGGCUAUGCUAGACCACUUGUUGACAGAAUAGAUGUAGAAAAUCUAUUCAGUCUUCGACUUUAUCGGUCAUCAACAAUUAGCACGGAAUACCGGGAGCAUGUUAAGGAUCUCUCCUGCCUGUCAAAAGAUCUAUGUCGUACUGUUAUUGUUGAUAACAAUCCGUUCAGUUUCUUGUUGCAACCACUGAAUGGAAUCCCAUGCAUUCCAUUUACAGCUGGACAACCACACGACACGCAGCUUCUGAGUGUCCUGCUUCCACUUCUCAAGCAACUCUCUCUCCAGAAAGACGUGAGACCUGUGCUCUAUGAAAAAUUCCACAUGCCUGAAUGGUUUCAAAAGCAGGGAAUCCCUUCUUCUAGAUUUGUAGGAUAAAGACUUUACGAAGGCCGCCAAUCUUCUUGUACAAUUCCUUUCAGAAAUUUUAUGGUAGCAGCAUCUCAUCAUAGGACUCGAUGACUUCUUGUAUGACAUUAAUCUGCAUACCGAAGGCAAUAACAGAAGCAGAGAGUUCAUAGUUACACAAAAAAUUAUCUGCUGCCUCUGUGAAAUAGUGGCCCAGCCAUGAAGGCUGAUCAGAUUCAUCCAAUUUCACAGCCUGAGAUGUUCAAGUUGCAUUCCUGGAAUAGUUAGCUUUUUUCAUGGUGCAAUUGAGUUUCUGGGCAUUGCCAUCGCCAAUGGCCGGUUGUGGGACGCAGGGAAAGGCCAUUCUAAAUAUUCACAUUGCCUGUAAAUGGACCUUUACAGUGCCUGUCCCAAAUGACAAGCAAAAUUAAGGCUAUUAAAAUAUGCAUCUUCAGGGACAAAAGCAAAUUAAUUGGGCUUUUGAGCUGAAGGGCUUUUUGGGUAAUUGUCCCGAUAAAUGUUUUUAGAUAUUGAUCAUCUGAAACAUUUUGAUUUCAACUUAUUAAUGCCACAUUGAUAUGAUACUGUUAAUAUUAGAGGUAUUCAUGCAAA